GCUGUAGAGUUGAGCUCCCACUUUCUCCUCCUCUUCCACCAUAGACAUCUUCAUCAAUAUUCAGUUUCUUCUUCUCCAGUUGUGCGUGAUAAACAUCAUUCCUUUGUUUCUCCAAGAUACAGUUUCCAGCUUUCAUAAGUGAAAUCUUCAGUAUGUGGCCAGUGCAUUUUGGUGCUACUCCGAUGGGUCUCGUCUUCUGACCCUUGCUUCCUUCUUCAAUUUAUUAGGAAAGCAUAGAAAAGAUGAACAAAGUCAAAGCUGGAAAGAAGAAAAGGCGAGAAAAGCAGGACAAAAGACUAAAAGUGUUCUAGGACACAACCAUUAGAUACUACUAUUGCAAUUAGGGUUGCGACCGUGAUCACUACUUGUCCAUGUAAGCAAAAGAGCUACGAUGGCGAGCCAAUGUCGCGCGAUCAUGAUAGUCCAUGAAAAAAAAGAUGUCGCAAUCGCGAAAAAAGGGUUGCGAUCACAAACGCCUAGCUAAAUUAUAAGGGCAGUAAUGGAAUUUUACAAGACUCAAUCCCAAGACACAAAAGGGCUAAUCCCUAACAUUUCCAGCAUCCAGUUUUCAGUUUUUGAGAGCUAAGAACACUAUUUUUGAGGAAAAAUAAUUUUGUGAGUGAUUUCUAAGGGAGAUUUUGCUACUUGGUUGGAUUUAAAGCUUGGGAAUACAUUUAUUUUUCCUUCCAUGUAUGAAUUGAAUGCUAAUUUUGGUAAAUAUCAUUUCUUUAUUUCCAUGAGUAGCUAAA